rnacentral:lncRNA from 1 species
GGCGAUUAGUGGUUGGGUCGCGCGGGUUGUGCUUUUUUUUUUUCUGCAAAUAGCGAUCGAACCCUAGUUCGCGUCAACGCCCAUUGAUAAGGUUAUCGUUAAGGUUAGCUGACAGUGAGGAGCAGUCAAAUGUUCCAAAGAAAUCCGAAGCUGAUGUCCCAAGCCUAAAUUAUCGUAAGCAACAUUCUUUAGGCAGUUUUUUUUUUUUUUUUUGCCUCUAGAGGAUGAUGUCACAUAGCCAAGAGUUACCUUAAAAUCCAACAAGGUAUAUCACUGAGAAAGGGAGCAGAUCACAAUUUGUUCUUCUUUCUUGUCAGACAGCUUUACUUUAAGCUAAAU